rnacentral:rRNA from 1 species
UACAGAGGGGGCAAGCGUUGUUCGGAAUUACUGGGCGUAAAGGGCGCGUAGGCGGCCUGUUAAGUCGAACGUGAAAUCCCCGGGCUCAACCCGGGAACUGCGUCCGAUACUGGCAGGCUUGAAUCCGGGAGAGGGAUGCGGAAUUCCAGGUGUAGCGGUGAAAUGCGUAGAUAUCUGGAGGAACACCGGUGGCGAAGGCGGUAUCCUGGACCGGCAUUGACGCUGAGGCGCGAAAGCCAGGGGAGCAAACGGG